CGCCACAGCCACAUCACACUGCAGCCCAAGACUGGUUGCCCACUGAAGCUAAGCAGGGUUGAGCCUGGUCAGUACCUGGAUGGGAGACCUCCUGGGAAAACUAGGUUGAUGUUGGAA
rnacentral:rRNA from 1 species